UGGGGAAUCUUCCGCAAUGGACGAAAGUCUGACGGAGCAACGCCGCGUGAGUGAAGACGGCCUUCGGGUUGUAAAGCUCUGUUAUUCGGGAAGAACGAUUCGUUUGUGAACAAUGAACGGAAGUGACGGUACCGAAAGAGAAAGCCACGGCUAACUACGUGCCAGCAGGCGCGGUAAUACGUAGGUGGCAAGCGUUGUCCGGAAUUAUUGGGCGUAAAGAGCGCGUAGGCGGUAUGGUAAGUCUGUCUUAGAAGUGCGGGGCUUAACCCCGGGAGGGGACAGAGACUGUCAUACUGGUGUCUCGGAGAGGAAAGCGGAAUUCCUAGUGUAGCGGUAAAAUGCGUAGAUAUUAGGAAGAACACCGGUGGCGAAGGCGGCUUUCUGGACGAGCACUGACGCUGAGGCGCGAAAGCGUGGGGAGCGAACAGG
rnacentral:rRNA from 1 species